rnacentral:rRNA from 1 species
UAUGCUUAACACAUGCAAGUCGAACGGUAACAGGCGGAGCUUGCUCUGCGCUGACGAGUGGCGGACGGGUGAGUAAUGCUUAGGAAUCUGCCCAGUAGCGGGGGACAACAGUCGGAAACGGUUGCUAAUACCGCAUACGCCCUACGGGGGAAAGCAGGGGAUCUUCGGACCUUGCACUAUUGGAUGAGCCUAAGUCAGAUUAGCUUGUUGGUGGGGUAAAAGCCUACCAAGGCGACGAUCUGUAGCUGGUCUGAGAGGACGAUCAGCCACACUGGAACUGAGACACGGUCCAGACUCCUACGGGAGGCAGCAGUGGGGAAUAUUGCACAAUGGGCGCAAGCCUGAUGCAGCAAUGCCGCGUGUGUGAAGAAGGCCUGCGGGUUGUAAAGCACUUUCAGUAAGGAGGAAAAUCUCAAGGUUAAUACCCUCGAGGCUUGACGUUACUUACAGAAGAAGCACCGGCUAACUCCGUGCCAGCAGCCGCGGUAAUACGGAGGGUGCGAGCGUUAAUCGGAAUUACUGGGCGUAAAGCGUGCGUAGGCGGCAUGGUCAGUCGGAUGUGAAAGCCCCGGGCUCAACCUGGGAAUUGCAUUCGAUACUGCCAAGCUAGAGUAUGUUAGAGGAAAGUGGAAUUCCCGGUGUAGCGGUGAAAU